rnacentral:rRNA from 1 species
UACGGGGGGAGCAAGCGUUGUUCGGAUUUACUGGGCGUAAAGGGCGCGUAGGCGGCACCGCAAGUCGACUGUGAAAUCUCCGGGCUUAACCCGGAAAGGUCAGCCGAUACUGCGGGGCUAGAGUGCAGAAGGGGCAACUGGAAUUCUCGGUGUAGCGGUGAAAUGCGUAGAGAUCCGGAGGAACACCAGUGGCGAAGGCGACACGCUGGGCCGUACCUGACACUGAGGCGCGAUAGCAUGGGGAGCAAACAGG